rnacentral:rRNA from 1 species
UACGGAGGGGGCAAGCGUUAUCCGGAAUUAUUGGGCGUAAAGCGUCCGCAGGUGGCGAUUCAAGUCUGCGGUCAAAGACUGGGGCUUAACCCUGGAAAGGCCGUGGAAACUGAAAAGCUAGAGUGCAGUAGGGGUAGAGGGAAUUCCCGGUGUAGCGGUGAAAUGCGUAGAGCUCGGGAAGAACAUCGGUGGCGAAAGCGCUCUGCUGGACUGCAACUGACACUCAGGGACGAAAGCUAGGGGAGCGAAUGGG